GAUAGCAUAUCUACUCAUGCACAUUGUGCUAGGACAUAAGGAAAUAUAUAUUGGAAUUGUAUAAACCUAAAUUGGCAAAAAUUUUGUACUAAAAAGCUUGUAAAUUUAAAAAUGAAGGAAUAUAAAUUGAAAGAAAAUGCAGAAAACAACCCUGAAAUGAAACGAAGGCUACGAGGUCCAGAGCAGUGGACAAACCAUUGAGCUAUCACCUUAUUUUGGUAAUUUUGAAGGAAUUUAUUACUUUGAGUGAUUAUCUGUCCCGGG
rnacentral:lncRNA from 1 species